rnacentral:rRNA from 1 species
CCUACGGGGGGCUGCAGUGGGGAAUAUUGGACAAUGGGCGCAAGCCUGAUCCAGCCAUGCCGCGUGAGUGACGAAGGCCUUAGGGUUGUAAAGCUCUUUUGGCGGGGACGCGGUACCCGCAGAAUAAGCCCCGGCUAACUUCGUGCCAGCAGCCGCGGUAAUACGAAGGGGGCUAGCGUUGUUCGGAAUUACUGGGCGUAAAGCGCACGUAGGCGGAUUUGUAAGUCAGGGGUGAAAUCCCGGGGCUCAACCUCGGAACUGCCUUUGAUACUGCAAGUCUCGAGUCCGAUAGAGGUGAGUGGAAUUCCUAGUGUAGAGGUGAAAUUCGUAGAUAUUAGGAAGAACACCAGUGGCGAAGGCGGCUCACUGGAUCGGACUGACGCUGAGGUGCGAAGCGUGGGGAGCAACAGGAUUAGAUACCCUUGUAGUC